rnacentral:piRNA from 1 species
UGUAUUACCCUUUAGGGACUGGUCUUGCC